UCCUACGGGGGGCAGCAGUGGGGAAUAUUGGGCAAUGGGCGCAAGCCCGACCCAGCAACGCCGCGUGAAGGAAGAAGGCUUUCGGGUUGUAAACUUCUUUUCUCAGGGACGAAGAAAGUGACGGUACCUGAGGAAUAAGCCACGGCUAACUACGUGCCAGCAGCCGCGGUAAUACAUAGGGGGCAAGCGUUAUCCGGAAUUAUUGGGUGUAAAGGGUGCGUAGACGGAAGAACAAGUUGGUUGUGAAAUCCCUCGGCUCAACUGAGGAACUGCAACCAAAACUAUUCUCCUUGAGUGUCGGAGAG
rnacentral:rRNA from 1 species